rnacentral:rRNA from 1 species
CACCAGCGCCACGAGUGGCUACCACGAUUAUUGGGCCUAAAGCGUCCGUAGUCGGAUUUGUGCAUCUUCUGUGAAAUCGCUGCGCUUAACGUAGCGGCAUGCGGAAGACACGGCAAAUCUUGAGAUCGGGAGGCGUCAGGGGUAUUCCUGGGGGACCGGUAAAAUGGUAUAAUCCCAGGAGGACCACCUGUGGCGAAGGCGCCUGACGAGAACGAAUCUGACGAUGAGGGACGAAAGCCAGGGGAGCAAACCGG